CGGCGGCGGUUAAUCGCCGUGGCACCACCUCUUCCCAUUCCGAAUAGAGUCGUGAAACGCGGUUGAGCCGAUGAUACUAACGAAGGGAAAGUAGGUAGCCGCCGCCGUU
rnacentral:rRNA from 2 species